GACCUGUGGGCUUGCGCAGUGGGACAGAGGGCUUCGUCCUUGACCCUAAUUUAUUUUAUUAUCCUCUUGGAUAAAAAUAAAGAGAGUGUCUGCCAAUCAAAUACGUGGAUUAUUCAAAACCUGGAGAGAUGGGCAGCUGUUGAGAAGCCUGGUGUCAUUCUGAUUCUGGAUCCGUUGUAUGAAACCUGUCAUUCUGCUUUUGUUUGGUUUUGCUUCCUCAAAACUUAUAGGAUCUUCUCCUUGUCCCCAGAGAGCUGCUCCAGCAGAUCUAAAGAUGACCGAGUCAGUCCCCAAGGAGCUCCAAGGCCAAUGGAGAAGAGGGGGAUCCUGAUCUCUUCAUUUACCAUCAAGCAUGCAGCGUCCCCAAGUCCCUGGAGAAAGGCUGCACAGCCUCAUCCCUGGGGCCUGGCUCCCCAGGCAGCUGAUAGGCCCCUGACUGGAAUGCCUGCCAGUGGAGACGUGGGUACCUCUCCCCCUCAGUGUGCGCUGUCCUGAUGACCCUUGAGGAAGAAGACUUCCUCGCUGAAGACUAAAUUCUCCUGGGGAGGAACAGUAGGAGCAGAAGUAGGAGCAGAAGGACGUGGAGCUGGGAUUAAGACUGUGAAAUCCCCUGUAACCGUGUGGUUUGGUUUAUAACGAAGUCAGGACAGCCCUGCACAGAGGAACACCAAUCACACUGCCACGGCCUGCAUUUCGCAUAACGGGCACCGCAACAUUACCGUUGUCCACAACUGGUUCUACGCAGACUCCCGGGAUCUCCCUCACUUACAGUUCCA
rnacentral:lncRNA from 1 species